rnacentral:rRNA from 1 species
UGAGUACGAGCUGCUACGGCAGCGAAGUGGGUGAUGUCAAGCUUCCAAGAAAAGCCCUAUACCCGUUAAGGCAUGAUGGCCUGUACCCGAAACCGACACAGGUGGGGUGGUAGAGAAUACCGAGGGGCGCGAGAUAACUCUCUCUAAGGAACUCGGCAAAAUGGCCCCGUAACUUCGGGAGAAGGGGUGCCACCGCAAGGUGGUCGCAGUGAAGAGGCCCAGGCGACUGUUUACCAAAAACACAGGUCUCCGCUAAGUCGCAAGACGAUGUAUGGGGGCUGACGCCUGCCCAGUGCCGGAAGGUUAAGGAAGCUGGUCAGCGUAAGCGAAGCUAGCGACUGAAGCCCCGGUGAACGGCGGCCGUAACUAUAACGGUCCUAAGGUAGCGAAAUUCCUUGUCGGGUAAGUUCCGACCCGCACGAAAGGCGUAACGAUCUGGGCGCUGUCUCGGAGAGAGGCUCGGCGAAAUAGAAUUGUCUGUGAAGAUGCGGACUACGUGCACCCGGACAGAAAGACCCUAUGAAGCUUUACUGUAGCUUGGUAUUGUGCCCGGGCUCUGAAUGCGCAGGAUAGGUGGGAGGCUUUGAUCCAUUGCUUGUGGGUGAUGGUGAGCCAACGGUGAGAUACCACUCUUUCAGAGCUAGGGUUCUAACGGUCACCCGUCAUCCGGGGACCGGACAGUAUCAGGUGGGCAGUUUGACUGGGGCGGUCGCCUCCUAAAAGGUAACGGAGGCGCGCAAAGGUUUGCUCAGGCUGGUUGGAAAUCAGCCGACGAGUGUAAAAGCAGAAGCAAGCUUGACUGUGAGACCUACAAGUCGAACAGGGACGAAAGUCGGCUUUAGUGAUCCGACGGUUCUGAGUGGAAGGGCCGUCGCUCAACGGAUAAAAGUUACUCUAGGAUAACAGGCUGAUCUCCCCCAAGAGUUCACAUCGACGGGGAGGUUUGGCACCUCGAUGUCGGCUCAUCGCAACCUGGGGCUGAAGUCGGUCCCAAGGGUUGGGCUGUUCGCCCAUUAAAGCGGUACGCGAGCUGGGUUCAGAACGUCGUGAGACAGUUCGGUCCAUAUCCGGUGCAUGCGCAGGAAUAUUGAGAGGAUUUCUCCCUAGUACGAGAGGACCGGGAGGAACGCACCUCUGGUGUGCCAGUUAUCGUGCCAACGGUAAACGCUGGGUAGCCAUAUGCGGAGAGGAUAACCGCUGAAAGCAUCUAAGUGGGAAGCCCACCUCAAGAUGAGUAUUCCCAUGGCGUUAGCCAGUAAGGUCACGGGCAGAACACCCGUUGAUAGGCUCUACGUGGAAGCCGGGUAACCGGUGAAGCGGAGGAGUACUAAUAGACC